UUUAUAGAGAGUUUGAUCCUGGCUCAGGACGAACGCUGGCGGCGUGCUUAACACAUGCAAGUCGAACGAGAAUCUAUGGAUCGAGGAUUCGUCCAAGUGAAGUAGAGGACAGUGGCGGACGGGUGAG
rnacentral:rRNA from 1 species